GUAACACAUACGCACAGGCACACUGAACUAUAAACAUGUGCAUACAAGUACACACAGACAAUCCUGCACUGACACAGAAAGGCAGACAUACACACACGCAGACAUGCGCUGACACAGACAAACAUAUUCACAGAUUGACACAAACAGGAAAAGAUAGACUCAGAGACACACACAGAUAUACUCACUACAAAGAAGGAUACUAG